GAUGAACGCUGGCGGCGUGCCUAAUACAUGCAAGUCGAGCGAACAGACGAGGAGCUUGCUCCUCUGACGUUAGCGGCGGACGGGUGAGUAACACGUGGAUAACCUACCUAUAAGACUGGGAUAACUUCGGGAAACCGGAGCUAAUACCGGAUAAUAUAUUGAACCGCAUGGUUCAAUAGUGAAAGACGGUUUUGCUGUCACUUAUAGAUGGAUCCGCGCCGCAUUAGCUAGUUGGUAAGGUAACGGCUUACCAAGGCGACGAUGCGUAGCCGACCUGAGAGGGGGAUCGGCCACACUGGAACUGAGACACGGUCCAGACUCCUACGGGAGGCAGCAGUAGGGAAUCUUCCGCAAUGGGCGAAAGCCUGAUGGAGCAACGCCGCGUGAGUGAUGAAGGUCUUCGGAUCGUAAAACUCUGUUAUUAGGGAAGAACAAAUGUGUAAGUAACUAUGCACGUCUUGACGGUACCUAAUCAGAAAGCCACGGCUAACUACGUG
rnacentral:rRNA from 1 species